rnacentral:lncRNA from 1 species
GGAGGUGCCCAGAGACAGAGCCCAGAUGGUGGAAUCUAUCCAAGAAGUGGCAAGAAUCUAUCUAGCCUCGAAGAUAUCUAUCCGUUCCGGAUCCCGUCCCCAUCACCGACCAUCCAUGUGUCUCUUUUCCACUGUGCACAAACUCGAUAAAGACCAUCCCUUUUUCUUCCUUCCAACUCUUUCCAAAGUGACAUCCUGCCGCAGAGUGUUAAACGCAGCGAAGAACAAACGGAGUUAGAAGGAAGACCGUUGGUCAACGUCAAGAGAAAGAGGAGAAGAGCUUAAAUGAAACGACGAGUUUUGUCUUCCGUUUAUUCCGUUUGCGUUUUAACCAUUGAUGUAUCAAACGUGGACAUGUGUUUUACCCGCGUUUAUAUUUUCGUUUUUACUGUUGAAGUUACCGUUGGGUUUUAGUAUAAAAACCCAACCAAUGAAAUGAAUCGACUUAAACUUUCAGACUGAAUCCUAUCUUCUUCUCUGCAUUCUUUCCUCUGCAUUUCUUCUUCCUUACGAAUCGAUGAUUCUCCAAUCAAUCUAAUACAGAGCCCAUUUACUGGGAAAGGUAGGUCUCCAAGUUGAUAGUCCAUGGUAUGGGUCCCAUUCCGAGAGAGACGAAGGCGAUCUAUUGGUUGUGGAAGCUGCCACUUGCAUAUGUGUCGCCAUGGGAGGAGGCUGCUUGUCUGCUUUUCCUUUGUCUCUGUUCCGAUGGUUUUUAGUGGUUCUCCACUUGUGAUUGUAUAUAGAGCGUCGGGAUUUCAAUCCCCAUUAUACCCUAGUGGUAAUUCGAGGCUUUGUCCUCUAAUUUAUCUAUGCAAUCUGAUGGAGACCCUUCUCCAUUUCAGAAUAUCAUCAUCUCCAGAUUUGGUCUACAGAACUAUUUUAGAUCUUCCCUUUAGUUUUGACAGCCAUUAUUAACUUAACUACCAUAAAACUA